rnacentral:rRNA from 1 species
UACGUAGGGUGCAAGCGUUGUCCGGAAUUAUUGGGCGUAAAGAGCUCGUAGGCGGUUUGUCGCGUCUGCUGUGAAAACCCGAGGCUCAACCUCGGGCCUGCAGUGGGUACGGGCAGACUAGAGUGCGGUAGGGGAGAUUGGAAUUCCUGGUGUAGCGGUGGAAUGCGCAGAUAUCAGGAGGAACACCAAUGGCGAAGGCAGAUCUCUGGGCCGUAACUGACGCUGGGGAGCGAAAGCAUGGGGAGCGAACAGG